rnacentral:rRNA from 1 species
UUGCUCUUCAACGAGGAAUACCUAGUAAGCGUGAGUCAUCAGCUCGCGUUGAUUACGUCCCUGCCCUUUGUACACACCGCCCGUCGCUACUACCGAUUGAAUGGCUUAGUGAGGUCUCCGGAUUGGCUUUGAAAAACCGGAAACGGUAUUUUAUCGCUGAGAAGCUGAUCAAACUUGGUCAUUUAGAGGAAGUAAAAGUCGUAACAAGGUUUCCGUAGGUGAACCUGCGGAAGGAUCAUUACUGAAUUAUUGAAGUGUUGUAGCUGGCUCCUUGGAGUAAUGUGCACGCACUUCAUAUUCAUCUUUACCACCUGUGCACUUUUGUAGACUAUGAUACCUCUCAACGGUUCAUUCCGUUGGAUUGAAGGACUUGCGUCUUUAGCUGUCUUUCGACUUUAUAGUCUAUGUUUACAUCUACUAUAACAAAACCCAGAAUGUAUCUUGUGGGUCUUUUGACCUAUAAAAACUUAUACAACUUUCAACAACGGAUCUCUUGGCUCUCGCAUCGAUGAAGAACGCAGCGAAAUGCGAUAAGUAAUGUGAAUUGCAGAAUUCAGUGAAUCAUCGAAUCUUUGAACGCACCUUGCACUCCUUGGUAUUCCGAGGAGUAUGCCUGUUUGAGUGUCAUUAAAUUCUCAAACCUCUUUGACUUUAUUGACAAAGAGGCUUUGGAUGUGGGGGUUGCUGGCUUUUUAACCAAAGUCAGCUCUCCUUAAAUACAUUAGUGGUUACUGUUCUCUCCACUUCUUGGUGUGAUAAUUAUCUACGCCUAGUGAAGAUGUUAAGUGUAGCUGCUCUCUAACCGUCCAUGCAAUGUGGACAACUUGAACCCUUUGACCUCAAAUCAGGUAGGACUACCCGCUGAACUUAAGCAUAUCAAUAAGCGGAGGA